AGCAAGCUAGCGAUAGUGAGCGAAUCCCAAAAAGUGCGUCGUAGUCCGGAUUGGAGUCUGCAACUCGACUCCAUGAAGUCGGAAUCGCUAGUAAUCGUGAAUCAGAAUGUCACGGUGAAUACGUUCCCGGGCCUUGUACACACCGCCCGUCACACCAUGGGAGUGGGCUGCAAAAGAAGUGGGUAGUUUAACCUUUCGGGGAGGACGCUCACCACUUUGUGGUUCAUGACUGGGGUGAAGUCGUAACAAGGUAGCCCUAGGGGAACCUGGGGCUGGAUCACCUCCUUAUACGAAGAUA
rnacentral:rRNA from 1 species